rnacentral:lncRNA from 1 species
CUAUACUUUUAAAAAAGGGGCAAUUGCUUAUAUACCCCUGAAAAAUUUCCGACUUUCCGAUUUACCCCUCUUAGAAGGCUAAUAUUAAAAAUACCCCUCCUACGUUCCAACAUAUUUCUAAUAUACCCUUAGAGUUAAAAUCUGUUAAGUAACUCUGUUAUCUCUAUAAAAUUACUAUUUUGCCCUUUCAAAUAUAUCCUUCCACCAUCACUUUCUUUCUUAUUUGCCCUUAAAGUCAGAAGUAUAAAAAGUACUUUGACUUUUGGUCUUUUCCAAUAUAUUUCUCUACCGUCACCAACCUUUCUUAUUUGCCCUUAAGUUAAGAACAUUUUAAUUUUUUUAACUGUGGUAGAUAUUUAACUCACGUUUAAUCCAGGUUAACUUAACAGGAGAUAACUGCGGGGUAUUUUGCAAUAACGGUGGAACAUAUGAGGGAUAUUUUAGAAAGAAAAAAAAAUAGGAAUAAAUCGGAUAUUUCCAAACGUAUGAGGAGUAUAUAGGUAAUUACCCCUUUGAAAAAAUAAAAGAAUUGAUACUUUUUAACUCUGGCUCUCGGAUCAAGAACUGUAAGAUUGAAAUGAUAGUAGUCUCCUUAGGAGAAUAAUAUUAAUUCAAAGACUAGAGAUGGUUAAAGAAAUUAAUCCAAAAGUUAAAAAAUUGACAGCAGCUACUCUUUUAUGCUUUCGAAAUUUGGUUUUUAGAUGCUUUAAAUACUCUAAAUCAAUUUUAGUAGUUUCCAUCAUCGAUUCAGAAUUUCUAUCAUCUAAAAGGAUUUAGAAGGACGAAAACCUUCGUCAUCCUCAAA